UACGGAGGGGGCAAGCGUUAUUCGGAAUCAUUGGGCGUAAAGGGCGCGUAGGCGGAUACUUAAGUCAGGGGUGAAAGCCCGAGGCUCAACCUCGGAACUGCCUUUGAUACUGAGUAUCUUGAGACCGGUAGAGGUAAGUGGAACUGCGAGUGUAGAGGUGAAAUUCGUAGAUAUUCGCAAGAACACCAGUGGCGAAGGCGGCUUACUGGACCGGUUCUGACGCUGAGGCGCGAAAGCGUGGGGAGCAAACAGG
rnacentral:rRNA from 1 species